rnacentral:rRNA from 1 species
AACGAACGCUGGCGGCAGGCUUAACACAUGCAAGUCGAGCGGGCCCUUCGGGGUCAGCGGCGGACGGGUUAGUAACGCGUGGGAACGUGCCCUUUGCUCUGGAAUAGCCCUGGGAAAACUGGGGGUAAUACCGGAUGUGCCCUGAGGGGGAAAGAUUUAUCGGCAAGGGAUCGGCCCGCGUCUGAUUAGGUAGUUGGUGUGGUAACGGCGCACCAAAGCCGACGAUCGGUAGCUGGUUUGAGAGGAUGAUCAGCAACACUGGGACUGAGACACGGCCCAGACUACCUACGGGAAGGCAAGACAGUGGGAAUCUUGGACAAUGGGGGCAACCCUGAUCCAGCCAUGCCGCGUGGGUGAUGAA